rnacentral:rRNA from 1 species
GAUGAACGCUGGCGGCGUGCCUAAUACAUGCAAGUCGAGCGAACGGACGAGAAGCUUGCUUCUCUGAUGUUAGCGGCGGACGGGUGAGUAACACGUGGAUAACCUACCUAUAAGACUGGGAUAACUUCGGGAAACCGGAGCUAAUACCGGAUAAUAUUUUGAACCGCAUGGUUAAAAAUUGAAAGACGGUCUUGCUGUCACUUAUAGAUGGAUCCGCGCUGCAUUAGCUAGUUGGUAAGGUAACGGCUUACCAAGGCAACGAUGCAUAGCCGACCUGAGAGGGUGAUCGGCCACACUGGAACUGAGACACGGUCCAGACUCCUACGGGAGGCAGCAGUAGGGAAUCUUCCGCAAUGGGCGAAAGCCUGACGGAGCAACGCCGCGUGAGUGAUGAAGGUCUUCGGAUCGUAAAACUCUGUUAUUAGGGAAGAACAUAUGUGUAAGUAACUGUGCACAUCUUGACGGUACCUAAUCAGAAAGCCACGGCUAACUACGU